UACGGAGGGUGCGAGCGUUGUCCGGAAUCACUGGGCGUAAAGGGCUCGUAGGCGGCCAACUAAGUCGGAUGUGAAAUCCCCAGGCUUAACCUGGGAACUGCAUCCGAUACUGGAUGGCUUGAAUUCGGGAGAGGGAUGCAGAAUUCCAGGUGUAGCGGUGAAAUGCGCAGAUAUCAGGAGGAACACCAAUGGCGAAGGCAGCUCGCUGGGACGGUACUGACGCUGAGACGCGAAAGCGUGGGGAGCAAACAGG
rnacentral:rRNA from 1 species